ensembl:lncRNA
GUUGGGCGUGGCUCGACGUGAUGGGGUGCGAGGGCCCUCAUAUCGCUGCUUGCAGCUUUAAUUUUGUAUUGUUAUCACUUCUAUACUUAUCCAUUUAAAAAAAAAAUCCAGGUUGUGACUGAGGUAUUUUCACGUGUCACAAGUGACACUACUGACGUAAUAUACCUGUAAAGUGAAACACACGAAUAUCUGUAAAACAAAAAUGAAAGCCCGAGGUAUGAAGGUGAGCUAAACACCUCAGCCUACAUAUCAGGAACAACAAGGAAACAUACCUUAAAACCCACGUACAUACACGCAGAUGCAUACAUAGCAGAGUUGAGCAAAAUGGGAGGUGGAAACAGGAGAAUAUGUAUAAAAGGGCACUGCGAUGCCCCAUCUCUUCAUGUGUUCAUUCACCAGCUUCUUUUUACAUCACAGAGGCAGAUUUACUCCAAACAGUGAUGGCAGCAGCUUUAGCCUCAAGCAGGGGACUGACUGUUUCCAGCACCACCAAAGGCCUGUUUCUCAUGUUCACCCUGUUGUCUCUGGUUUGUCUUUCAAGUGCCGUGAUAGACAAGGACCAACUGGAAAAAUUGAAAGACGACUAUCAGAAAUCACACCAGGAGCUAGAAGAACUAAAGAUUGUGUUCAAACAACAAGUGACUGACUCCAAACAACAAAUGACUGUGUUCAAACAACAAGUGACUGAGAUUACAGAGAUGCUGAAGGAAACUGAGGCUUACAUUGAUAGGGAGGAAGAGCAGUUGAGAGGGAAAAUAGAAGAAAGUGAAAAAUGUCUACAAAAACAGAAGAAAUUUAUUGAAUUCCUUGAAGAACUGCAAGCUGAAUUGUAACUUCCAUCUCAGUGAUUUCCUUUUUCUCUGAUGUUGCAUCUGUUUAGUUCCCUUAUCAUAUAGUACUUGUUUAGGUUUGGUUUAACUUUUUUAAAAGUGUCCCCCUUCUUUACAAUUUUACAUAAACUCCAGAGGAUUUUAUGUGUUAAUGAAGUUUAAGGAAUACAUUUUCAGAACUUACAGAUUUUUCUACCAUUACUUGAUUUCUGCAGUGGAAACAAUGUUUGUAUGACCUGACACAUAAUAAAAACAUUAACCUACUACUGUUACUGUUUGUUGUCAGAAUAUCUAUCUCAAAAUAUACGACUUUUUUUGCCGUAUCCCCAGCAGUCAGCCACAAAAGUGGAUUAACUAAAAUAUAUGUGACCUAUUUGCAAAUGAUGUAAAGAUAAACAAAAUUGUUCACUUUUAAAAUAUAUUUAAAGAUUGCAUUUAUAAUUUAGUGCACUCUGUAGUGCUUCACUUUUUUUCUCCUCAUGUUGUCAUUAAGGCAUUUUCAUCUGUCUCAUAGCGACACUGUGCAUGUUCCUGUAAAGACAAACAGGCAAAAUAAAGUUAUUUGUAAAACAAAUAUGAAAGCCUGAGCUUCAAAGUUAAGCUAAGAUGAAAGUCUUACUGCAUCUACACACAUACAAACACAGUGCAACAACCUACCAAAAACACACACACACAGAAGAGCUGAGCACUAUUUUACCACCAUUGGAAGACGUUGUUCCCAGUUUAAGGAAAUGCACUGCACUGGUUUGAA